GCACUGUUGGUGAGUUCCACAAUAGGACGAAACGGCCGUCCAGUGC
rnacentral:hammerhead_ribozyme from 1 species